rnacentral:rRNA from 1 species
GGAAUAUUGCACAAUGGGGGAAACCCUGAUGCAGCCAUGCCGCGUGUGUGAAGAAGGCCUUCGGGUUGUAAAGCACUUUCAGUAGGGAGGAAAGGGUGAGUCUUAAUACGGCUCAUCUGUGACGUUACCUACAGAAGAAGGACCGGCUAACUCCGUGCCAGCAGCCGCGGUAAUACGGAGGGUCCGAGCGUUAAUCGGAAUUACUGGGCGUAAAGCGUGCGCAGGCGGUUUGUUAAGCGAGAUGUGAAAGCCCUGGGCUCAACCUAGGAAUAGCAUUUCGAACUGGCGAACUAGAGUCUUGUAGAGGGGGGUAGAAUUCCAGGUGUAGCGGUGAAAUGCGUAGAGAUCUGGAGGAAUACCGGUGGCGAAGGCGGCCCCCUGGACAAAGACUGACGCUCAUGCACGAAAGCGUGGGGAGCAAACAGGAUUAGAUACCCGGG